rnacentral:rRNA from 1 species
GGUGAGGUAACGGCUCACCAAGGCCACGAUGCAUAGCCGACCUGAGAGGGUGAUCGGCCACAUUGGGACUGAGACACGGCCCAAACUCCUACGGGAGGCAGCAGUAGGGAAUCUUCGGCAAUGGACGAAAGUCUGACCGAGCAACGCCGCGUGAGUGAAGAAGGUUUUCGGAUCGUAAAACUCUGUUGUUAGAGAAGAACAAGGAUGAGAGUAACUGUUCAUCCCUUGACGGUAUCUAACCAGAAAGCCACGGCUAACUACGUGCCAGCAGCCGCGGUAAUACGUAGGUGGCAAGCGUUGUCCGGAUUUAUUGGGCGUAAAGCGAGCGCAGGCGGUUUCUUAAGUCUGAUGUGAAAGCCCCCGGCUCAACCGGGGAGGGUCAUUGGAAACUGGGAGACUUGAGUGCAGAAGAGGAGAGUGGAAUUCCAUGUGUAGCGGUGAAAUGCGUAGAUAUAUGGAGGAACACCAGUGGCGAAGGCGGCUCUCUGGUCUGUAACUGACGCUGAGGCUCGAAAGCGUGGGGAGCAAACAGGAUUAGAU